UGGCGGGAUGUUGUAACGGUAACAUGCCAGGUUCGUGAACUGGUGCUGCUGGUUCGAGUCCAGCUCCCGCAUCCA
rnacentral:tRNA from 1 species